CCUACGGGAGGCAGCAGUGAGGAAUAUUGGUCAAUGGCCGGAAGGCUGAACCAGCCAUGCCGCGUGAAGGUCAGUGCCCUAUGGGCGUUAAACUUCUUUUGUGCGGGAGCAAUAAUGGUCACGUGUGGCCAGACGAGAGUACCGUACGAAUAAGCAUCGGCUAACUCCGUGCCAGCAGCCGCGGUAAUACGGGGGAUGCAAGCGGUGUCCGGAUUUAUUGGGUUUAAAGGGUGCGUAGGCUGGGAGGUAAGUCAGCGGUGAAAUGCCCCCGCUCAACGGGGUGAAGUGCCAUUGAUACUGGCUGGCUGGAAUGCGGAUGCCGUGGGAGGAAUGUGUGGUGUAGCGGUGAAAUGCAUAGAUAUCACACAGAACACCGAUUGCGAAGGCAUCUCACGAAUCCGCGAUUGACGCUGAUGCACGAAAGCGUGGGUAUCAAACAGGAUUAGAUACCCGAGUAGUC
rnacentral:rRNA from 1 species